rnacentral:rRNA from 1 species
UACGUAGGGUGCAAGCGUUAAUCGGAAUUACUGGGCGUAAAGCGUGCGCAGGCGGUGAUGUAAGACAGAUGUGAAAUCCCCGGGCUCAACCUGGGAACUGCAUUUGUGACUGCAUCGCUGGAGUGCGGCAGAGGGGGAUGGAAUUCCGCGUGUAGCAGUGAAAUGCGUAGAUAUGCGGAGGAACACCGAUGGCGAAGGCAAUCCCCUGGGCCUGCACUGACGCUCAUGCACGAAAGCGUGGG